rnacentral:lncRNA from 1 species
GAUUGCCAAUUCAUAUCUUUCAGCUGCUCCCUCCCCCCCCAUACAACUCUCUACUGAGUUGUAUGUGAACUUGCAAGGUGGGCUUUGAAGCUGGAAUUAAAAGCUUUUUAUGUGGUUGACUUCACAGUGGCUAUCCAAACUAUCUGUAGAAGUAACAGCUAUUGCAUAGUUAGCUGUUCACCAACUUUAACUGACAAUAAAUUACGUUUCAGGGUGGAGAACAUAGCGCAUUGCCUGACACCUGUGCUGAUCUUGAGGGCAUUCUUGAUUCUCUGCAGAAUGAUGUCGUGGAUAUUAAAAAGCAAGCUGAGGCAGCACACAGUUUCAUUGCAUCCCUAGAGGACCCGCAGGAAGCUAUUGGUCGGCUUGAGAAGCAGCUGGAAAGAACUAGCUUUGAACUAAUGAAGACCAAAGAAGAGCUGACGGAGAAAAACACCAAACUACUGAAAACUGAGGAAGAGCUGAGACAGAAGAACAAAGACUUUGAAAUGCAAGUGAUGAAAUUGGAUGAAUCUGUUGAGCAACUUAAAGAAGCAACCGAGAGAAUGAAUGUGCAAAACGAAAGGAUUCGAGUGCUAACAGACAUCGUGGUGCAGAAAGAUGAUGUUAUUACAAAGCUACAAGACUUAAGAUCUCAUUUAGAAGAAAAAGUAAAAGACUAUGUGAGUUUGACACAUCUCAGUAUCUUAACACCGAAAAAACCCAUCCCUAACCCUAUGCUUGUAAUCAAUUCACUUCUGUGAAACUGUUUUUUUGUAUGUAGCUGGUACUUGUUUGAAACUGUAAACAAUUCAAAUUAAUCUGAAGAUAGUUGUUAAUUCAAGCAACAAAAAUAUCAGUGUGUUCCACCAACUGCUACGUCAAAGGAAGAGCAGCAGUAUGAGUAUAUUGAGCGGAGUUUGAAGUACGAGUGGAUGGCCAGGGUGUCUCUACAUUCUAUGCAGUUGAUAAAACUCUCCUGACUAGCGUACUGCCAGCUGCUGAAUAUGCGAAGACUAGCUUGACUAAGCGUGU